UGCUAUGGCUAUGCCACCCUGAACGUGCCAGAUCUCGUCUGAUCUCGGAAGCUAAGCAGGGUUGGGCCUGGUUGGUACUUGGAUGGGAGACUACCUUGGAAGACCAGGUGCUGUAGGCA
rfam:Pteropus alecto contig99407, whole genome shotgun sequence.